rnacentral:rRNA from 1 species
GAUGAACGCUAGCGGGAGGCUUAACACAUGCAAGUCGAGGGGCAGCAUAGGGUAGCAAUACUCUGAUGGCGACCGGCAAACGGGUGAGUAACGCGUAUGCAACCUACCCUGUACAGGGGGAUAACCCGGAGAAAUUCGGACUAAUAUCCCGUAAUAAUAUCCGGAGGCAUCUUUGGAUAUUUAAAGUUCCGACGGUACGGGAUGGGCAUGCGUAACAUUAGCUGGUUGGUAAGGUAACGGCUUACCAAGGCUAUGAUGUUUAGGGGUCCUGAGAGGGUGGUCCCCCACACUGGUACUGAGACACGGACCAGACUCCUACGGGAGGCAGCAGUGAGGAAUAUUGGUCAAUGGGCGCAAGCCUGAACCAGCCAUCCCGCGUGCAGGAAGACGGCCCUAUGGGUUGUAAACUGCUUUUCCAGGGAGAGAAACUUACGCACGUGUUGCGUGACUGACGGGUACCCCUGGGAAUAAGCAUCGGCUAACUCCGUG